CUUGGUCAUUUAGAGGAAGUAAAAGUCGAACAAGGUUUCCGUAGGUGAACCUGCGGAAGGAUCAUUACUGGGUAAAGCCUCGCGCCUCCAACCCCACCCUCCGUAACCGCGGCCCGGAUUCGGCGCCGGCGGGGACACCCUCUGUUCGCGGAGAGGACCCCGCCUGCCGGAAUCACCAACCCUUUGUAAACUGCAGUCUGAGAACAAGUUAAAUUAAACAAAACUUCAACAACGGAUCUCUUGGUUCUGGCAACGAUGAAGAACGCAGCGAAAGCGAUAAGUAAUGUGAAUUGCAGAAUUCAGUGAAUCAUCGAAUCUUUGACGCACAUUGCGCCCCCUGGUAUUCCGGGGGGCACACCUGUUCGAGCGCCUUUUCACCAUCGAGCCCUGCUCGGCGAUGGGCCUCGUCCUUACGGACGGCUCGAAACCCGUGGGCGCCGUCGUCCGGCCCUGAGCGUAGCAAGAGAAACCCUCGCUCGGUGUGUCGUCCGGUGGCCGCCCCGACAACCAUUUUAAAGUUGGCCUCGGWUCAGGUGGGGAUACCCGCUGAACUUAAGCAUAUCAAUAGCGGAGGAA
rnacentral:rRNA from 1 species